rnacentral:rRNA from 1 species
AGUGAACGCUGGCGGUAGGCCUAACACAUGCAAGUCGAACGGCAGCACAGUAAGAGCUUGCUCUUACGGGUGGCGAGUGGCGGACGGGUGAGGAAUACAUCGGAAUCUACUUUUUCGUGGGGGAUAACGUAGGGAAACUUACGCUAAUACCGCAUACGACCUACGGGUGAAAGCAGGGGAUCUUCGGACCUUGCGCGAUUGAAUGAGCCGAUGCCGGAUUAGCUAGUUGGCGGGGUAAAGGCACACCAAGGCGACGAUCCGUAGCUGGUCUGAGAGGAUGAUCAGCCACACUGGAACUGAGACACGGUCCAGACUCCUACGGGAGGCAGCAGUGGGGAAUAUUGGACAAUGGGCGCAAGCCUGAUCCAGCCAUACCGCGUGAGUGAAGAAGGCCUUCGGGUUGUAAAGCCCUUUUGUUGGGAAAGAAAAGCAGCAGGUUAAUACCCCGCUGUUCUGACGGUACCCAAAGAAUAAGCACCGGCUAACUUCGUG